CCGGGGAAAGCAGAUGUGUGUUCAUUUGCACUCCCUGCGCGGCUCCCCACUCCCAUCGCUCCCUGGGAUGCUCAGAUGCCUGUCUUCGCGCGAAGACACCGGUUCGUGCACGUUCGGUCGCCGAACGGUGACGUUUUGGAGAGAACAGUCAGGUGAGCAGGGGCAUCUGGAGAUGCUCGCGCCCCCCACCCCCACCCCACCGAGAACAACAA